UUGGGGUAACAGGAAGCAGCUUGCUGCUUCGCUGACGAGUGGCGGACGGGUGAGUAAUGUCUGGGAAGCUGCCUGAUGGAGGGGGAUAACUACUGGAAACGGUAGCUAAUACCGCAUAAUGUCGCAAGACCAAAGAGGGGGACCUUCGGGCCUCUUGCCAUCGGAUGUGCCCAGAUGGGAUUAGCUUGUUGGUGGGGUAACGGCUCACCAAGGCGACGAUCCCUAGCUGGUCUGAGAGGAUGACCAGCCACACUGGAACUGAGACACGGUCCAGACUCCUACGGGAGGCAGCAGUGGGGAAUAUUGCACAAUGGGCGCAAGCCUGAUGCAGCCAUGCCGCGUGUAUGAAGAAGGCCUUCGGGUUGUAAAGUACUUUCAGCGGGGAGGAAGGGAGUAAAGUUAAUACCUUUGCUCAUUGACGUUACCCGCAGAAGAAGCACCGGCUAACUCCGUGCCAGCAGCCGCGGUAAUACGGAGGGUGCAAGCGUUAAUCGGAAUUACUGGGCGUAAAGCGCACGCAGGCGGUUUGUUAAGUCAGAUGUGAAAUCCCCGGGCUCAACCUGGGAACUGCAUCUGAUACUGGCAAGCUUGAGUCUCGUAGAGGGGGGUAGAAUUCCAGGUGUAGCGGUGAAAUGCGUAGAGAUCUGGAGGAAUACCGGUGGCGAAGGCGGCCCCCUGGACGAAGACUGACGCUCAGGUGCGAAAGCGUGGGGAGCAAACAGGAUUAGAUACCCUGGUAGUCCACGCCGUAAACGAUGUCGACUUGGAGGUUGUGCCCUUGAGGCGUGGCUUCCGGAGCUAACGCGUUAAGUCGACCGCCUGGGGAGUACGGCCGCAAGGUUAAAACUCAAAUGAAUUGACGGGGGCCCGCACAAGCGGUGGAGCAUGUGGUUUAAUUCGAUGCAACGCGAAGAACCUUACCUGGUCUUGACAUCCACGGAAGUUUUCAGAGAUGAGAAUGUGCCUUCGGGAACCGUGAGACAGGUGCUGCAUGGCUGUCGUCAGCUCGUGUUGUGAAAUGUUGGGUUAAGUCCCGCAACGAGCGCAACCCUUAUCCUUUGUUGCCAGCGGUCCGGCCGGGAACUCAAAGGAGACUGCCAGUGAUAAACUGGAGGAAGGUGGGGAUGACGUCAAGUCAUCAUGGCCCCUUACGACCAGGGCUACACACGUGCUACAAUGGCGCAUACAAAGAGAAGCGACCUCGCGAGAGCAAGCGGACCUCAUAAAGUGCGUCGUAGUCCGGAUUGGAGUCUGCAACUCGACUCCAUGAAGUCGGAAUCGCUAGUAAUCGUGGAUCAGAAUGCCACGGUGAAUACGUUCCCGGGCCUUGUACACACCGCCCGUCACACCAUGGGAGUGGGUUGCAAAAGAAGUAGGUAGCUUAACCUUCGGGAGGGCGCUUACCACUUUGUGAUUCAUGACUGGGGUGAAGUCGUAACAAGGUAACCGUAGGGGAACCUGCGGUUG
rnacentral:rRNA from 1 species